rfam:Capsicum annuum cultivar Zunla-1 chromosome 11, whole genome shotgun sequence
UAUUGGUGAUGCGGAUAAUCUCUGAAAAGAGACUUGAAUAUCUCCCAUGAAUGAUAGAGAUUCUCAUAUGGCUUUUGUUUAAAACUCAGGAUCUCACUCCUCAACCU